rnacentral:lncRNA from 1 species
UUUUAAUGUUAGCCACCGGCAAAUUCACUAGUAUGCUGAAAAGUCAAUAAAACUAUGCCAAAGAAGCUAAAUUAUGAUUAUUCAAUUUUUAGUUUUUUGACCCUGAAGAUAAGUUAAAAGAAGCAACAAAGGAGGCUGCAACCCUUGUAUGCAUAUUCCAUAAAAGCAGAGUAAUGCCACCCCAACCUACAAAAACACUCAGCAAGGAGACCUAAAAGAAUAUUCACAUCUCGCCCCAAAAGCCAAAAGUAGGCCUCAAAAAGCACAAAACCUAUCAUCUAACACUGGUCUAACUUCAUCCACAAAGUCAUCAAAAUUAUCAACAAAUUCCUAUAUAAGUCAACUGUCCUAAAUAUAACGUGUACAGGAAUGAAGUCCUCAACUUAGCAACUGCUGUUCGACGCCCUUGAAAUCUCUCAUAUUCCUUUCACUCCCAAAGCACCACAUUAAGCACGGGUAUAUUCAAUUAGUUCCACUCUAGGAGUAAGAUAUUUAAUAUCACGUACACGGCCUCCAAAUACUAAUUUCAUUUUUUUUAAAAGACUAGUAUUAAGAACUUGCAAACCUUAUGCUUCAC